rnacentral:lncRNA from 1 species
GCUCUUCCUGUAAGCAGCCAGAGGUGAUCUGUGAAGAUGGUUCGCCACUCUCUUGACCUAGAAAACCCCACAAAAUCAUGCAAAUCAAGAGGUUCAAACCUUCGUGUUCACUUUUAGAACACCCGGGAAACUGCCCAGGCCAUCAAGGGUACGCAUAUCUACAAAGCCACCAAGUAUCUGAAGGAUGUCACUUUAAAGAAGCAAUGUGUGCCAUUCCGGCAGUAUAAUGGUGGAGUCGGUAGGUGUGUCCAGGCCAAACAGUGGGGCUGGACACAGGGACGGUAGCCAAAGAAGAGUGCUGAAUUUUUGCUACACAUGCUUAAAAAUGCAGAGAGUAAUGCUGAACUGAGGGUUUAGACGUAGAUUCUCUAGUCAUUGAACAUGUACACAUCCAAGUGAACAAGGCACCUAAGAUGCGCCGAUGAACCUACAGAGCUCAUGGCCGGAUUAACCCAUACAUGAGUCCCCCUGCCACAUUGAGAUGAUCCUCACUGAGAAGGAACAGACCGUUCCAAAGCCAGAGAGCAUAUUAUAUAGAAGAAAAAGAUAUCCCAGAAGAAACUGAAGAAACAAAAACUCAUGGUGCAGGAAUGAAUUCA